GGAGCGUGCAGUGAGGGUCGCCGGUGGGUCCGCCCACGGGAGGAAAGUCCGAGCUCCGCAGGGUAGGGUGCCGGGUAACGCCCGGGCGUCGUGAGACGACGGAAAGUGCAACAGAGAGCAGACCGCCGAUGGCUCCCCCGGGAGCACAGGUAAGGGUGAAAGGGUGCGGUAAGAGCGCACCGGACCGGUGGUAACAUCGGUCGCACGGCAAACCCCACCCGGAGCAAGGCCAAAUAGGGGACGAGGAGUGACCCGCUCCGCCUGAGUCCCGGGUAGGCUGCUGGAGGCCGGUCGCGAGGCCGGUCCUAGAGAAAUGACCCCACCUGCCUUCGGCAGGGACAGAACUCGGCUUAUUCGCACGUGCUCGAC
rnacentral:RNase_P_RNA from 1 species